GUGGGUAUAGCUCAGUGGUAGAGCACGUACUUAGCAUGCAUGGGUCCUGGAUUUAAUCCCAGUACCUCCA
rnacentral:tRNA from 1 species